GGGGAUAUAGCUCAGCGGUACAGCGCCUAGGAGACCCUGGGUUCAAUUCCCAGUACCA
rnacentral:tRNA from 1 species